rnacentral:rRNA from 1 species
UCUGAGUUCAGACCGGAGUAAUCCAGGUCGGUUUCUAUCUAUAAAAAGUCUUUCCUAGUACGAAAGGACCGAAAAGACAUGGCCAAUAUUUUAACAAGCCAUAUUUUAUUACUAAUGAUAUCAACUUAAUUAGAAAAAAAUUUAUUAUAAUAAUUUAGAUAAAAUUG